GCACCACGGCUCUGGCUCAGCCAGUAGAUGACCUGUGAGGGCCGUUCUCAGCUCCCUGACCUGGGGCCAGCCCCUACGGGAUUCCCAUGUGUAGCUGCACGCGCAGCCUGACAUGGGUGAUGGGCAGCCUGGCUGUGGGUAAAGCAGACAGCCCUCCACACACACACACACACACACACACACUCACUCACACAUACAUACUCAUACACUCACAAACUCACACACACUCAAGCUCACACAUAUUCACACUCAAACUCCUACUCACACACACACACUCACACUCAAACGCACACAUAUACACACUCAAGCUCUCACACACACACACACGACACACACACACAGGCAGGGCCAGUGUUUCUGUCUGGAGGCCAAGUCCUCAGCAGGCCUCACCCCUGGGUCCUUCCCCUUGGUAAAAGCCCCCGGAGGGCGUAAAGCAACCUCUUCAGUGGGCUCCUGGUCUCGCCCAAAGUGGAAAGAUGCCGGAGGCCCCCACAGCAGAGACCCACUGGGAAAGCCGCAUGAAGCUCGGAGGAGACCAGCAGUCGUCCAUCCUCAACCGCCCCAUCAGACCCCCGGCGGGGGGAGGCCACACAGGUGCUACCAACUGGCGGUUCCCUCUUGAGCCAGGAAGGCUCCUCUGUGAGGAGGCACUCGCUGGCCGAGCAGGGAGCAGGGCUGGGGCGAGGCUCGCCGUCUCCAACUCCUCCCUCGCAAAAAGGAGCACGGAGGCCGACGGCGGGUAUCCCGCCGCUUCCUUCUGCUCAACUGACCAGGGGACCCGGAGCCACUGCAGGGUGCAGCCAGGGCAGGGCCAGCGGGGAGGAAGCAGUGCCUGGUGUGGGGUGUGUCCACUCAGAGGCCAGCCGGGCAGGACACGCGUGGGCUGAGAGGGCCUGAAGCUGACCUGUGAUCCCGGAGGCAGCGUCCCAAGCAAGGUACCUGCUUCCGACUUCACCCUCCUGCGAGUCGGACGCUCAGGCCAGCCCUGGAGGGUGUCGCGGUACGGAGCGUGUUGCAGCCCCUCGGAGCCUCACG
rnacentral:lncRNA from 1 species